rnacentral:lncRNA from 1 species
GAAGAGGCUGAAAACUUCCCUCCAGUCAGAGCUCGAAACCGGAAGAUUGCUGAUGAUGCCGAUCAAGGCUGACAAGAAGAGGACGCCAAAGUUUGAGAGGAGGCGGCGGCGGCGUUCCCUUCUCAGUUGUUGAUGCAGAUUUGUGUUCCCUGGAUACAGAAGAAUACUGAGGAUAAGGAGCAGUAGGUUGCUGCUGGGCAAUUUUGGUUUCCCAGAAAAGGGAGAAAUGGGGCUCUUUUACAGAUAAGGUGAAAUGGGAGGUGGAUACUAACAGGCCAUUUUAGUGCCAGGUUUUUUGAAGGCACAUAAGAAAAAGACAAGAAUUAUUUUGUUGGUUUUGGUUUUUGUUGAUUCGGCGAGGCUGGGCAUGCUAGUGGUGAACCUGCUGCAUACCAUGUACAAUUGUGAGUUACACUACAGAAUCAAAAUUUUCCCCUUUUUAUUGAUUUUCUAGAGAUACAGCUGUUCCCCUUCUCCUUUGGAGCACACUUUGUUUGUUUCCCACAUUGUAAUUGUAACCGUAGGAUGUGCAAGUUGAGUUGCACCUGUUGAAAAGUAUAUGUUUCGGUUCAUUUGGUUUUAGAGAAUACAGUAUUGUUUCCAUUACACAAGGCUCCGUCUGUGUGUUUGUAAAUUGAUGUCUUAUGUCUUAUGCCUGGACUAGUGGAGCCUUUAAUUUUGCACGAAAGGAAAGGAGGGCUUGUGAUAUGAUGAAGAAAGAAGGAACAUGAGCACGUGUAAAGCAUGCAGGUACUGUGGCAUGGUGUGGACCGAUGCAUGACAAUGGACAAAGUGUUGUGCCGGCCCCUUUUUGAAUGUGGCACUUGUCAAUCAGUUUCAGUUGAUGAUGUCUUUGGUUGGCUAAGCAAAAGAAAACAAGUCUCUUGGAGGUGAGGAUCACAUGGCAUGCCUGCAUGUUUUUUUUCUUGGAUCCAUUGAUAGUUGUAAGACAGCACACGCUGGAAGGAAGUAGGACGGACGUACAGUACAGGGGGUAAAAAGAAAAAGGAAAAAAAAACAUGCUGAUGGGGUGAGAGAGGCUCGAACUCUCGACCUCAGGAUCACUCGCUUUAGCUAUGAGACCUACGCGCUAACCAACUGCGCCACCACCCCGUCACGCUCUUGCAGAUUUGUGUCUCGUAUUGUUCUUAGUCUCUGGUAUUUAGAAUAUACUAUAACAACUUAACUAAAGACCGAAAUUAACUAAUGAGAUGGUUAAGCCAUUGUGUUCUUUGAGAGCUGAGAUGCUUGGGUGGUGGGCCCCGGGUGUCGACGAGCAGAUGUGCUUGGGCUGGGUGGGGUGGGUCGGAGGCCGCCCUUCCCUUCUUCUUUUGCUCUCCCAUUCCGAUUCCGAUUCCGAUUCCAAUUCUUCUUCCUCCUCCUCCUCCUAACAACCUUGGAUUGGAUUCACAUCAUCAAUCAAUCCUCUUUGAUUUUUGCCGCAGGAAGGAUGAUGAUGCCCAUGCCCAUGCCCUCGUCGUCGUCGUCGUCGCCGUCUAUGGCCGCCGCCGCCACCAAAUCUCCCCUCCUCCCUCCCCCAUUCCUCUCCGCCUCUCCCCGCCCGCACCUCCGCGCCGCCUUCCUCGCCCUCAGACCCCGCCGCGUUCCGCUGCUCGCCACGCCCGCCCCGGAUGCCACGCCCGCACCGGACGCCACCACCACCAACAACCCCUUCGCCGCGCUCGUCGACGCCCCCCGCACGCUGUGGCGCCGCACCCUCCAGCCCCUGGGGGACUACGGCUUCGGCAAGCGCAGCGUCUGGGAGGGCGGCGUCGGCCUCUUCAUGGUCUCCGGGGCCGCGCUCCUCGCCCUCGCCCUCGCCUGGCUCAGGGGAUUCCAGCUCCGCUCCCGAUUCCGCAAGUACAACACCGUCUUCGAGUUCACGCAGGCCUGCGGGAUCUGCGUCGGCACGCCCGUACGCAUACGAGGGGUCACCGUCGGAUCCGUCGUCCGCGUCGACUCAUCCCUAAGGAGCAUCGAUGCGCUAGUCGAGGUCCCUCUCCCUCUAUUGCUUUGUUCCUUUGCACUAGUAAUUCAUACUCCCUCUUCAUAAGCUACUACAACCUGAAUGUCCAACCUCCACCACUAAUACCCUAACUUAAUCGUCUCAAUCUCUCUCCAUUUCCAUCGCUAAUCCCCUAAGUUUGUCAUCGUGGCAGGUCGAAGAUGAUAAAAUCAUUAUACCACGCAAUUCACUGGUUGAGGUCAAUCAGUCUGGUCUUCUAAUGGAGACACUCAUUGAUAUCACACCAAAGGAUCCACUCCCCGCACCUUCAGUAGGGCCACUUCACCCAGACUGUGCCAAAGAAGGCUUGAUUCUCUGUGACAAACAGAGGAUCAAAGGACAGCAAGGAGUAAGCUUAGAUGCCAUGGUCGGAAUAUUUACCCGUCUAGGAAGAGACAUGGAGGAAAUUGGUGUUAGCAAAAGCUAUAAGUUGGCUGAAAAAGUUGCAUCCAUAAUGGAAGAGGCACAACCUCUUCUUACACGGGUACAAAUUCUUCUCUCCAUUCUUCCCCAUAACAGUUUGCAAGCCUGCUUACCUUGUUGGAAUGCCUGUGGAACCAAUUCUUUCAGCCAAUACUGCUAAAUAGGCUUCAUUCUGCACGGCUUUCAUAACCUUUCCCAACAUGCCUCAUGUGCAAUUCAUUGUUCACCAAAAUAGAUUCCCACUUCCACUUAUUCGCCUUGGCACACUACUAGAUAUCCCAAAUACCAGCGUGGCUGAGGUAGAAAUAGUACAGCUCGCCCAUGCUUACAGUGAGACUUGAGCUGGACUGCUGAGAUCGGGUUCCCUAUGCAGCAUACCUUCCCAGUUGGCAUGUUUACUUGCCUCUGCUUUAUGAGUAAUAGUGAACAGGAGGGGACCUCAACGUAGUUGGAGUGUGGUGUUAGCUUAUUCUUCUUUAUGUUGUAUGCUUUUGAAAAAAUGGGUGGAGCGUCGUGCUUCCUCCAUAUAGUAUGCGGAUUUUAUUCUGUCUGCUAAACAGGGUUUUGGAAGCUAAUUGUGUUGUUAGAUGUGAUAUGCAUGGAAUUAAUGCUAGUUAUGGAACAACAGAUUGAGGCCUUAGCUGAAGAAAUCCAGCCUAUGCUCUCUGAGGUUCGUGGUAGCGAUCUGCUCAAGGAUGUGGAGACUAUAGCUAAAGGCCUGGCUGAUGCGUCUGGUGACUUGAGGUACUACUGCCUGGAAAGCACAAUGAUGCAAAAAUUCCUAUUUUCCUUUGAUGAUAGGGUGGACACUUGAUAAUUUCUUUUCGUUGGCACUGUCCUGCAGGAGGCUCAAGUCGUCCAUGCUAACCCCAGAGAACACAGAUCUCAUUAAGCAGUCUAUUUUCACCCUUAUAUUUACGCUCAAGAACAUCGAGGUAUGUGCUUUUGACACACCCAACAAUUUUUGUGGUAUCUGUUUCUCGAACUGAACAAGAGGUUGACGUGCCCCUUACCUUGGUUAAAAUUCAGAGUAUCAGCUCGGACAUCUCUGGCUUCACGGGUGAUGAGACGACACGGCGGAACAUCAAGCUUCUGAUCAAGUCUC